GACGACAACGAAAAGCUUUUUUUCGCGAGACGAUUUUUUUCCUCUCGAAGCUGGACUGGCCGCCGCCGAGUGGGAGGAGUGUGUGUGUCUGUUGCGUAAACGAGCAGUUGCGCGCCGUGUCUGUUUCCUUCAAUUCUAGCGCUUGAUUCGCGCAAUGAAGAGACGCUCGUUGAUUAGAAUUGAGAGCUCGAUGUGGACUCGAGCGAUGUCGGAGAGAUGGCUGCACCUGUUCUUCUCUGCGAAUGUAGUAUAAGCGGAUCGAUCCCCGCGAGGAGGAAAACAAUCGUUCGGAUGGACCGGAGCGUAAAAAGUUUAUCGUUGGAAGUGGCGGAGAGCGACGGUACACAUAGCGAAGGGACCUCGGCUACGAGCGUCGCACACCGUAUAGUGUGAGCAGCAGCGGCAGAAAGAGAGAAUAAAUCUCUCUCUCUCUCUCUUACUCUCCGACGAGAGGAGAGGUCGUUGCGCUCACUCGCGGGAGAGAGAGAGAGAGAGAGAGAGAGAGAGAGAGAGAGAGAGAGAGCGGCUACUGACAUGUCCGAACAUUAUCCACUCGGGCGAUGGCUGCUGACACUGUAUGAAGAGGGAAGACGAGCUUUCUCCGAGCUUCUAGUCUUUGCGGGGACGUCGAGUUUAUAGUAUUUUUCUUUUGAGAUUUCACCUUAUACGCCGUUACUAAAAAUGCCACUUCCCAUAAUCUCGUAAUUACGAGAGUCGAAAAAACGGAAGAAAGACCGUGAGAGUACCAGCACAAUUCCCGCCAGUGCGCCGCGCGGCGUAGGAGUACACGCAGCAGCCGGGAUCUCCGACUGUGAGAGAAGCAGGAAUCUGCCGUCCAUAUGCGCGACGAUAUGCAACGCAUCUGGAGGCGACGUGUGAAUAGGUACCUGGGAACGAGGCCUUGACCGUUUCUGCCGCCGACGCAUAAUCGUCCCACGUGUUUCCCCUUGUUUCGACUUUGGAAUAUACGAGUGACUUA